rnacentral:rRNA from 1 species
CACAUGCAGUCGAGGGGCAGCACAGGUAGCAAUACCGGGUGGCGACCGGCGCACGGGUGAGUAACGCGUAUGCAACUUGCCUAUCAGAGGGGGAUAACCCGGCGAAAGUCGGACUAAUACCGCAUGAAGCAGGGAUCCCGCAUGGGAAUAUUUGCUAAAGAUUCAUCGCUGAUAGAUAGGCAUGCGUUCCAUUAGGCAGUUGGCGGGGUAACGGCCCACCAAACCGACGAUGGAUAGGGGUUCUGAGAGGAAGGUCCCCCACAUUGGUACUGAGACACGGACCAAACUCCUACGGGAGGCAGCAGUGAGGAAUAUUGGUCAAUGGGCGCGAGCCUGAACCAGCCAAGUCGCGUGAGGGAUGAAGGUUCUAUGGAUCGUAAACCUCUUUUAUAAGGGAAUAAAGUGCGGGACGUGUCCCGUUUUGUAUGUACCUUAUGAAUAAGGAUCGGCUAACUCCGUGCCAGCAGCCGCGGUAAUACGGAGGAUCCGAGCGUUAUCCGGAUUUAUUGGGUUUAAAGGGUGCGUAGGCGGCCUUUUAAGUCAGCGGUGAAAGUCUGUGGCUCAACCAUAGAAUUGCCGUUGAAACUGGGGGGCUUGAGUAUGUUUGAGGCAGGCGGAAUGCGUGGUGUAGCGGUGAAAUGCAUAGAUAUCACGCAGAACCCCGAUUGCGAAGGCAGCCUGCCAAGCCAUUACUGACGCUGAUGCACGAAAGCGUGGGGAUCAAACAGGAUUAGAUACCCUGGUAGUCCACGCAGUAAACGAUGAUCACUAGCUGUUUGCGAUACACUGUAAGCGGCACAGCGAAAGCGUUAAGUGAUCCACCUGGGGAGUACGCCGGCAACGGUGAAACUCAAAGGAAUUGACGGGGGCCCGCACAAGCGGAGGAACAUGUGGUUUAAUUCGAUGAUACGCGAGGAACCUUACCCGGGUUUGAACGC